rnacentral:rRNA from 1 species
UACGUAGGGCGCAAGCGUUAUCCGGAAUUAUUGGGCGUAAAGAGCUCGUAGGCGGUUUGUCGCGUCUGCCGUGAAAGUCCGGGGCUCAACUCCGGAUCUGCGGUGGGUACGGGCAGACUAGAGUGAUGUAGGGGAGACUGGAAUUCCUGGUGUAGCGGUGAAAUGCGCAGAUAUCGGAAGGAACGCCGGUGGCGAAAGCGACGUGCUGGCCCUCUUCUGACGCUGAGGAGCGAAAGCGUGGGGAGCGAACAGG